AAUGGUGUAGUUGUAGGCUCUGCUGUUGUAGGUGCUGCUGUAGUUGUUAUGAAAGCAGCUGGUGUUGUGGUGGGGACCAAUGGUGUAGUUGUAGGCUCUGCUGUUGUAGGAGCUGCAGUAGUUGUAGGCUCUGCUGUUGUAGGUGCUGCUGUAGUUGUUUCAGGGACAGCUGGUGUUGUGGUGGGGACCAAUGGUGUAGUUGUAGGCUCUGCUGUUGUAGGAGCUGCAGUAGUUGUAGGCUCUGCUGUUGAAGGAGCUACAGUAGUUGUAGGCUCUGCUGUU